CCUACGGGUGGCAGCAGUGGGGGAUAUUGCACAAUGGGGGAAACCCUGAUGCAGCGACGCCGCGUGAGUGAAGAAGUACUUCGUUACGUAAAGCUCUAUCAGCAGGGAAGAAAAUGACGGUACCUGAGUAAGAAGCCCCGGCUAACUACGUGCCAGCAGCCGCGGUAAUCCGUAGGGGGCAAGCGUUAUCCGGAUUUACUGGGUGUAAAGGGAGCGUAGACGGUGCGGCAAGUCUGGAGUGAAAGGCCGCAGCUUAACUGCGGAACUGCUUUGGAAACUGGCGAGCUAGAGUGCGGGAGGGGCAGGCGGAAUUCCUGGUGUAGCGGUGAAAUGCGUAGAUAUCAGGAGGAACACCGGUGGCGAAGGCGGCUUACUGGACUGUAACUGACGUUGAGGCUCGAAAGCGUGGGGAGCAAACAGGAUUAGAUACCCUGGUAGUC
rnacentral:rRNA from 1 species